rfam:Aeribacillus pallidus strain 8m3 NODE_42, whole genome shotgun sequence.
GGAGCGGUGCCUGUCACGCCCCAACAGUCAGAAGUCAGCAGAGGUCAUAGUACUCUUUCAAGCUCGAGAUGGAAGAGGAAGGAC